rnacentral:rRNA from 1 species
CCUACGGGGUGCAGCAGUGAGGAAUAUUGGUCAAUGGGCGCGAGCCUGAACCAGCCAAGUCGCGUGAGGGAGGACGGCCCUACGGGUUGUAAACCUCUUUUGCCGGGGAGCAACGGGCGCCACGUGUGGCGUCACUGAGAGUACCCGGAGAAAAAGCAUCGGCUAACUCCGUGCCAGCAGCCGCGGUAAUACGGAGGAUGCGAGCGUUAUCCGGAUUUAUUGGGUUUAAAGGGAGCGUAGGCGGGACUGCAAGUUGGGUGUCAAAUCUACCGGCUCAACCGGUAGCCGCACUCAAAACUGCAGUUCUUGAGUGAAGUAGAGGCAGGCGGAAUUCCUAGUGUAGCGGUGAAAUGCGUAGAUAUUAGGAGGAACACCAGUGGCGAAGGCGGCCUGCUGGGCUUUUACUGACGCUGAGGCUCGAAAGUGUGGGGAGCAAACAGGAUUAGAUACCCCAGUAGUC